CGUAGGGGCGGAGCGUUGUCCGGAUUUACUGGGCGUAAAGGGUGAGUAGGCGGUUAUAUGUGUCAGAUGUAAAAGGCUAUGGCUUAACCAUGGUUAGCAUUUGAAACUGUAUGACUUGAGUGCAGGAGAGGUAAGUGGAAUUCCUAGUGUAGCGGUGAAAUGCGUAGAUAUUAGGAGGAACACCAGUGGCGAAGGCGACUUACUGGACUGUAACUGACGCUGAGUCACGAAAGCGUGGUAGCAAACAGGAUU
rnacentral:rRNA from 1 species